CUUCCUUCUCGAGUCCUCCGCCUGGGUUAACGAGUAGGCGACAGGAAAGGGCGGUGUUUUCCGGCUGCGAGGUCCCAGCCCGUACGGGCGGCCCGGGGAGGCGGCUGGAGCCCCCCGGGGUGGAGGGGGGUUGGAGGGGAGUCGGGCGCUCCGGGCCUGGCCCGGGCCCUGGGACUCUCGGGUUGGACGGAAAUCCUGGCACAAAGCAGAUACCCUGCAGAGGCCCUUGACUUUCCCGAGCUCGGUCAGCUUCAGGUCCUCGCCGCGACGCGCACCCCCGCCCCGCGCACCCCACCCCCUCGGGUCUGCAACCUUAGAGGAUGCACCGUGAGCCGCGUUGGAAGCCCUGGGCUGCGUUAAGGCGAAAAUGCAGCUGUUCUGGAACCCUUCUUCUCUGGGCCUUCCACCCUCUCAUCAAGGAACUUCUUGAAAUUCCUUCCCAACUCUCCUGGGCUCCAAAAAACACAUUAGAAACCAUGGAAAGAUGAUCAGUAAGUAGAGAGAUUGCUUCUGGUCGGAGUGAUUAGGAUGGCCUGGUGGAGGAGGCAUUUGAAAUAGGCGUUAGGAUAGGGUGAUCAUUGGACUUUCCAUUAUGUAGGGCUCAGGCAUGAGGUCUGACUACAGCUGUAUGGGUACUGAGAUCUUUACCACCCAGUAAAUGACCACUGCAGAGGUUGUCAGUGAGGAUCCAACACUUGAUUUGUGAGUUUCGUGGUGGUGAAGUGUCUGAGGUUCACCUCUGGCCUCCUCUGGCCUUCUGUUCUUCAUUCUUUGUCAUCCUUCUUUCUAACCCACUAUAAGAGACUUUCUGUUGUUCCUUUGUAAGCUUAGAGCCCCAGCUCUUCUGGAUAUUUAUUUUUUGCCAGCAGGAGCACUGACAGUAGAUUCUAGCAUUUUUUCCUUUAGCAACGGACUCCAGCAGCACAUACCCAGGUCACUGUAAUGACGGGUGAACACUGACAUCCUUAGAGAGUGCAACACUUUCUUCCAAGGAGGGCAGGCUUGGGAGGGAGAAUUUUCUCAGAAGCCAUAGAACCAAUGAACUAGAAUCCUAAUCCUUUAGCGCGGCAUUUUGGCUAAUCAAAGUUUUAAACCACCUUGGAGUAUAGUUAACAUUGCUUGGGAGGUGAGCUGCUUCCUGUGAGAUUCAUGCUGUCCUGAAAUACCUAAAAAUUAGGAUUAACAUGGAGGAAUGACCAAGUCAGAGACAUCAUUCUCUUCCUUCAUUGCUUUAUUAUUCCUUGUCAGGUGAAUGACCUGGUUAGUGGUGAAAGAAAACAGAGUUUAUGGAAGACCCAAAGAUGGAGCUCACAUUCAGAUUUACAAAUGUGUGAGGGUUGCACUAG
rnacentral:lncRNA from 12 species